rnacentral:rRNA from 1 species
AGCAGCCGCGGUAAUUCCAGCUCCAAUAGCGUAUAUUAAAGUUGUUGCAGUUAAAAAGCUCGUAGUUGAAUUUCGGGGUCAGUAGGUUGGUCGUGCCACCGGUACGUACUGGUCUCACUGAUUCCUCCUUCCUGAUGAGCUGUAAUGCCAUUAAUUUGGUGUUGCAGGGAAUCUGGACUGUUACUUUGAAAAAUUAGAGUGUUUAAAGCAGGCUAACGCUUGAAUACAUUAGCAUGGAAUAAUGAAAUAGGACGUUCGAUCCUAUUUUGUUGGUUUCUAGGAUUGACGUAAUGAUUAAUAGGGAUAGUUGGGGGCAUUAGUAUUCAAUUGUCAGAGGUGAAAUUCUUGGAUUUAUUGAAGACUAACUACUGCGAAAGCAUUUGCCAAGGAUGUUUUCAUUAAUCAAGAACGAAAGUUAGGGGAUCGAAGACGAUCAGAUACCGUCGUAGUCUUAACCAUAAACUAUGCCGACUAGGGAUCGGAUGAUGUUAAUUUUUA